GAUGAACGCUGGCGGCGUGCUUAACACAUGCAAGUCGAACGAGAAAUGUAGACGGAAACCUUCGGGCGGAAGCCUUCAUUUCGAGUGGCGGACGGGUGAGUAACGCGUGGGUAACCUGCCUCAUACAGGGGGAUAACAGUUGGAAACGACUGUUAAUACCGCAUAAGACCACAGCAUCGCAUGAUGCGGGGGUAAAAACUCCGGUGGUAUGAGAUGGACCCGCGUUCGAUUAGCCAGUUGGCGGGGUAACGGCCCACCAAAGCGACGAUCGAUAGCCGAUCUGAGAGGAUGACCGGCCACAUUGGGACUGAGACACGGCCCAAACUCCUACGGGAGGCAGCAGUGGGGAAUAUUGCACAAUGGGGGAAACCCUGAUGCAGCGACGCCGCGCGAGUGAAGAAGUACUUCGGUAUGUAAAGCUCUAUCAGCAGGGAAGAAAAUGACGGUACCUGAGUAAGAAGCCCCGGCUAACUACGUG
rnacentral:rRNA from 1 species